ensembl:snRNA U6 U6 spliceosomal RNA
GUGCUUGCUUCGGCAGCACAUAUACUAAAAUUGGAACAAUACAGAGAUUAGCAUAAACAUGACCCUGUGCAAGGAUAACACACAAAUUCGUGAAGCGUUCCAUAUUUAA